GCCGAACCGAGCGAACGUUGUUCGGAAUCACUGGGCUUAAAGGGCGCGUAGGCGGGUGCUCAAGUCCGUGGUGAAAUCCUCCGGCUCAACCGGAGAACUGCCUCGGAUACUGGGUGCCUCGAGGGUGGUAGGGGUAUGCGGAACUAUCGGUGGAGCGGUGAAAUGCGUUGAUAUCGAUAGGAACUCCGGUGGCGAAGGCGGCAUACUGGACCACCUCUGACGCUGAGGCGCGAAAGCCAGGGGAGCAAACGGG
rnacentral:rRNA from 1 species